rnacentral:ncRNA from 2 species
CAGUUAUCACGAAAGGCGGAGGGAAAGACCCAAUGAAACCUUAGCAACCCUUUACUAUAAAGAAGGUGCUACAUUCUACUUAAUACCAACACAGUAUUUAAGAUAGAUAACAC